rnacentral:rRNA from 1 species
CACGUGAGAAACCUGCCCCGGACUUGGGAAUAACAGUCGGAAACGAUUGCUAAUACCGAAUACCUUCACACCGUCGCAUGGCGGAGUGAAGAAAGCUUUUGCGGUCUGGGAGGGUCUCGCGGCCUAUCAGCUUGUUGGUGAGGUAACGGCUCACCAAGGCAUCGACGGGUAGCUGGUCUGAGAGGAUGAUCAGCCACACUGGGACUGAGACACGGCCCAGACUCCUACGGGAGGCAGCAGUGGGGAAUAUUGCACAAUGGGCGCAAGCCUGAUGCAGCAACGCCGCGUGCGGGAAGAAGG